GACGAACGCUGGCGGCGUGCCUAAUACAUGCAAGUUGAGCGCUGAAGGUUGGUACUUGUACCAACUGGAUGAGCAGCGAACGGGUGAGUAACGCGUGGGGAAUCUGCCUUUGAGCGGGGGACAACAUUUGGAAACGAAUGCUAAUACCGCAUAAAAACUUUAAACACAAGUUUUAAGUUUGAAAGAUGCAAUUGCAUCACUCAAAGAUGAUCCCGCGUUGUAUUAGCUAGUUGGUGAGGUAAAGGCUCACCAAGGCGAUGAUACAUAGCCGACCUGAGAGGGUGAUCGGCCACAUUGGGACUGAGACACGGCCCAAACUCCUACGGGAGGCAGCAGUAGGGAAUCUUCGGCAAUGGACGAAAGUCUGACCGAGCAACGCCGCGGGAGUGAAGAAGGUUUUCGGGUCGUAAAACUCUGUUGGUAGAGAAGAACGUUGGUGAGAGUGGAAAGCUCAUCAAGUGACGGUAACUACCCAGAAAGGGACGGCUAACUACGUG
rnacentral:rRNA from 1 species